rnacentral:rRNA from 1 species
ACAGCAGCCGCCGCGGGAAUACAGAGGGUGCGAGCGUUAAUCGGAUUUACUGGGCGUAAAGCGUGCGUAGGCGGCUUCUUAAGUCGGAUGUGAAAUCCCUGAGCUUAACUUAGGAAUUGCAUUCGAUACUGGGAAGCUAGAGUAUGGGAGAGGAUGGUAGAAUUCCAGGUGUAGCGGUGAAAUGCGUAGAGAUCUGGAGGAAUACCGAUGGAGAAGGCAGCCAUCUGGCCUAAUACUGACGCUGAGGUACGAAAGCAUGGGGAGCAAACAGGAUUAGAUACCCGGGUAGUCCCUGUCUCUUAUAC